rnacentral:rRNA from 1 species
CCUACGGGAGGCAGCAGUGGGGAAUAUUGCACAAUGGGCGAAAGCCUGAUGCAGCGACGCCGCGUGAGGGAUGACGGCCUUCGGGUUGUAAACCUCUUUCAGCAGGGAAGAAGCGCAAGUGACGGUACCUGCAGAAGAAGCACCGGCUAACUACGUGCCAGCAGCCGCGGUAAUACGUAGGGUGCGAGCGUUGUCCGGAAUUAUUGGGCGUAAAGAGCUCGUAGGCGGUCUGUCACGUCGGAUGUGAAAGCCCGGGGCUUAACCCCGGGUCUGCAUUCGAUACGGGCAGACUAGAGUGUGGUAGGGGAGAUCGGAAUUCCUGGUGUAGCGGUGAAAUGCGCAGAUAUCAGGAGGAACACCGGUGGCGAAGGCGGAUCUCUGGGCCAUUACUGACGCUGAGGAGCGAAAGCGUGGGGAGCGAACAGGAUUAGAUACCCUGGUAGUCCACGCCGUAAACGUUGGGACUAGUAGUGUGACAUCACGUCGUCGUGCGCNGNUACGACAUAGUUACCCGUCCCGUCGGGUAGGACGGUCCGGCGAGACGAACCGUACCUAACGGAAAGUUAGUUACGGCGUGUUGAGUACGCGACGACGCGACGACGGAGGAGG